CAGUAGCCACGGUAAUACGAAGGGGGCUAGCGUUGUUCGGAAUUACUGGGCGUAAAGCGCACGUAGGCGGACAUUUAAGUCAGGGGUGAAAUCCCGGGGCUCAACCCCGGAACUGCCUUUGAUACUGGGUGUCUAGAGUAUGGAAGAGGUGAGUGGAAUUCCGAGUGUAGAGGUGAAAUUCGUAGAUAUUCGGAGGAACACCAGUGGCGAAGGCGGCUCACUGGUCCAUUACUGACGCUGAGGUGCGAAAGCGUGGGGAGCAAACAGGAUUAGAUACCCCGGUAGUCCCUGUCUCUUAUAC
rnacentral:rRNA from 1 species